rnacentral:lncRNA from 1 species
CCCAACCAGCUGUAUGACCUCGGUCACAUUUUAUUAUGUUAAAAGGAACUUACUAGCUCCUGCCUCACAGGAUUGAAAAUGAGACGGUGUUUGCAGCCCUUAACUUGGCUCCUGGAAAUAGUGAAGUUCAAGAAAUGGUUCCUUUCAGAGGGGAGCAACAACGUUCCUUUCACAGAGGUUAUUCAUCAGGCUGAGCCCAGAACAAGUUGACUGUAGGACAUUGGAAAGCAUCCAUGAGUGUUUGGCAAACAGAAUUGCCUUGAUCCGCUCUUGAACUGGUUGGUGGUUUUCUUUAGAUGGAGGCUGAGCUACACACGAAACCACCAGAAUCAGGAAGCUGCUGUGAUCAGGAAGUCUCCAUUACAGCUUCUGGAUCUCUGGAGCCUCCUGAAAUCCACAUCCUCAAGAUGGAUGGUGUGGGCCCUCCUUCGACACCUCCAAGGCUAUGCAGCGGCCACACACUGGGACCUCUGUUCAUCCUGGUGAAGAACUGUCCAGUGACUCCUUGAUCAAGCUUGCCAGCAAAACAGCAGAAGCGGCAGAAACGAAACUGGAACCAACGAAGUGCACCAUGAGAACCUAAAUUAUAUUUAGAACUUUGCUUCAGGGAAAUCUGAGAAAAACAAUCUUGUGGUGUUCCACCUCUCCGAAAGAGGAAGGUACACUAAAAGGAGCUUGGAAUGGCUGCUGAGCACCAACCCACUCCAUAUUACACCUUUGGCUGUUAAACACUCAUAUAUUCUCUUUCCUAAAUUGAGCUUCCAUGAAAACACAGGUCCUCACUAAUAUUCAAACACAUUUUCCUGCUCCUCAAAGGGAGACCUACACUUCUCAGUAUCCAUGUCUGGGCAAUGUUUAUUUUUCCCUGUAACCUAGUCAUGACCCAUUUUUGAUGUCCUACAACCGGUGUUCUAGAGGAGAGUUAAUCCUGACCCAAAACUCCUUCAUAGAACAGUAAGGGGAAGGGGGAAGGAAUAAAAAGGAUAGUUAUUAAUAGAUGUAAAUAAUAGAAAGGAAAACUAGGAGCUACAGCACUACAGUCCUCACAUGUGGUCUUAGUCAGGAGUCGUCAUUGGUAUUUGUGACUUCUUCCUCUUCUUCCCAUUCACUGUAGUCUUUGCACCCAGGCAAUUGCUCAGAGCCCUGGACUUCAUUGCCUGGUGACAUGAAACCUUUCUUCCUGAGGACCCUGAGCUCUAGGACUGCUGGAGGCUUCCAUAACUUUGGUCCCUGGAUGUGGCAGUCCUAAGAAGCCAUCCAGAGAAUCAAGUGGCCUUAGCUACCUUAGUUCUCUUUGCUGUUUAGGAGCAACCAUGAAGAGUCCAGUGAUUAAAGAUGAUCUCGACUUCUGGC